CCUACGGGAGGCUGCAGUGAGGAAUAUUGGUCAAUGGACGAGAGUCUGAACCAGCCAAGUAGCGUGAAGGAUGACUGCCCUAUGGGUUGUAAACUUCUUUUAUAUGGGAAUAAAAUGUUCCACGUGUGGGAUUUUGUAUGUACCAUAUGAAUAAGGAUCGGCUAACUCCGUGCCAGCAGCCGCGGUAAUACGGAGGAUCCGAGCGUUAUCCGGAUUUAUUGGGUUUAAAGGGAGCGUAGGUGGAUUGUUAAGUCAGUUGUGAAAGUUUGCGGCUCAACCGUAAAAGUGCAGUUGAAACUGGCAGUCGUGAGUACAGUAGAGGUGGGCGGAAUUCGUGGUGUAGCGGUGAAAUGCUUAGAUAUCACGAAGAACUCCGAUUGCGAAGGCAGCUCACUGGACUGCAACUGACACUGAGGCUCGAAAGUGUGGGUAUCAAACAGGAUUAGAUACCCCUGUAGUC
rnacentral:rRNA from 1 species